rnacentral:rRNA from 1 species
CAUGGUCUUAGCUUGCUAAGGCCGAUGGCGACCGGCGCACGGGUGAGUAACACGUAUCCAACCUGCCGUCUACUCUUGGACAGCCUUCUGAAAGGAAGAUUAAUACAAGAUGGCAUCAUGAGUCCGCAUGUUCACAUGAUUAAAGGUAUUCCGGUAGACGAUGGGGAUGCGUUCCAUUAGAUAGUAGGCGGGGUAACGGCCCACCUAGUCUUCGAUGGAUAGGGGUUCUGAGAGGAAGGUCCCCCACAUUGGAACUGAGACACGGUCCAAACUCCUACGGGAGGCAGCAGUGAGGAAUAUUGGUCAAUGGGCGAGAGCCUGAACCAGCCAAGUAGCGUGAAGGAUGACUGCCCUAUGGGUUGUAAACUUCUUUUAUAAAGGAAUAAAGUCGGGUAUGGAUACCCGUUUGCAUGUACUUUAUGAAUAAGGAUCGGCUAACUCCGUGCCAGCAGCCGCGGUAAUACGGAGGAUCCGAGCGUUAUCCGGAUUUAUUGGGUUUAAAGGGAGCGUAGAUGGAUGUUUAAGUCAGUUGUGAAAGUUUGCGGCUCAACCGUAAAAUUGCAGUUGAUACUGGAUAUCUUGAGUGCAGUUGAGGCAGGCGGAAUUCGUGGUGUAGCGGUGAAAUGCUUAGAUAUCACGAAGAACUCCGAUUGCGAAGGCAGCCUGCUAAACUGCAACUGACAUUGAG